UGCUUUUAUUAGAAAAUCUGUUAGAAAAUGCAAGCGAGGUCGACUAACUUGCAUCAUUAAUGUACUUUCUUUUACAAAACAUUUCAGUAGACAUUGAAAGGAGAACAAAGUUUCUGCCUACAGAGCAAUAGCAGGGCACCACCUUGUUUCUUUUUUGGUACAAGAGGGCAGCACUUUAUUCAUGUAAAAAUAAAGUGAUGUUGUGUUCACAAUCGUAAAUUAAAUUAAAACUUGAAAGGAAGGAAUUCUUGGCAACUACUCCCAAUCCCAAGCUCAGAAUUGACGAUCACAUACCAGAUGCAAAUUCGAUUCAUGCCAAAACUGAUAUUUCAUUAGUUAACGGUACUAAAUGUGGAUGUACCGUUCACUGUUCAUCUUGGCUCGAAUUGAAGCGGCGGUUUUGCGUUCUUUAAAUUACAGACUGUCAUCCUUCUAUUUCCUCAAUUACAGAACUCUUUUGCUGACUUUUCUCUCUCCCGUCUCUCGAAGACUCUUCACAGAACUCUCUCGCUCACGGGCACAAGCAAGUCUAUUCAGUAAAUACAGUAUACUAUGGCACUCUGGUCAAGUUUCUAUCAGCAAACAUAACAACUGCAACUCGACCCACCUGGGCUCCUGCAAAAGAUGGUAAUGAACAAGGUAGUACUUGGAUUUUUGGCCAAUCCCAAAAUCACUCAUCAAGGGACAUUGCAGCGCAUACAACUCUAAAAACCAGAUCUUACAGUGUAUGCCUAGGUAGCGCACUGAAAACCGUGAUGCUAUGAGGGAAGUUGAUGGUACGUUUUGUGACGCUCUAAUUAAGUAUAGCUGGAAUAGAGGUCAUAUUCUGAACAUAUCUCAUUCAUGGGAUCAAACAAAUCCAAGUGGUACUAUUCUUUCUGUUAUCUUUUCUCAUUUGCUUUUCAGUAAGAAUAAUAAAUUACCAUGAAGAUUCUUUGGCAUGAAGCAUGGACUAUUCUACCUGCGUUCGUUUAUAUGCAUCAUAUCUCGAAGAAUGCCCUAGUGUUUUCGUGUCCUGAAGUAUGAUGUUCAGAAAGGUCACUUGGUAUGCAGUUUGAAUUGGAAUUUAUGUGCAAGCUUUUUGUAUGUACAUUGUUCUUUCUAUAUCAUUUAAUGGAAAAACCACCCCUCUGGCUUUCUAUAAACUUUUAUAUUAUGUUUACUUAUCAAUGCAAAAUGGAAUAGGAAUGUACCAUUCUCUUUAAUAUAGUACAAAUAGGAAUGUACCAUUCUCUUUAAUAUAGUACAGUAGACAUGAUGGCAUUUAGAAUAAAGCAUCUCACAGGUUCAAUACAAUCUCUACAGAGAACCAAGGAACUUGAAACCCCACACUUACUAAGGCAUUUACCUGCUUUGCAACAGCUUCUUUCUCGCCUUCUUGAUUGCCAGGUGACUGAUCCAAUAUUCAUUCCUUUGUUUUUUGUUUUUGUUUUGUUUAUUUUAUUUUAUUUUUAUUCUUCCUUUCUUUUCAGUCUAUCUUCCAUGAAAGGGAGGUGUUAUUCCACCAAAUUUUGAUAAUCUUACCCUUUAUGUAUUUUACAAGUAUAUAUGGUCCUUCUGUUAUGUAUAUAAAGACCACUGACCACAGCCAACACCUAUUCUGUUAUUACUGAAACAAUGAAGGUACGUAAUUUUGCAGCCAGAAGGGGGGGGGGGGGACUAUAUGUAAUAGCCUGAUUCAAUAUGCUAUUUCAAUGGUACAAACUCUAAAAGGCUCAAUUGUAAGUAGGUCUAAUCUGAUACCAUUCCAUCCAAUAUUCCUUUAAGAUGUUCCUCCCAUCAGGUUGCAGGUGAAAAUGCCAAAUUGUAUGCUGCAAUCAAAGAUGGAAUUGUCAAUUUAGUUGACAACGGAGGCCUUGGUUUUCUAUGUGCAAAAUGAUGGGCAGCUGCUACAACAUUUUUAUUCGUUUACUUUAGCAUUCCCUGCUUCCCGCAAUACUUGAUGUUGUCAUAAAACGGUUUGAUGGAAUGUUAUUGUAAACUGCAAUAAUGUAAACCAAACAAUUUUAGAGAGAUGAAACUUCGUUUCAUUUUAUUA